rnacentral:misc_RNA from 1 species
UCUAAUUCUUGGUUGGUCCAAGAUCUAGGUUGUCCCCCUGGAAGAACAAGCACCAAUAUUGCAUAACAAGCCUGAAUUAUCUCAGGAGUUCCCCCUUUGAAAUUGCAAACAUGAAGCAUUGGCAUUCGAAUUGCAGCAAUAGGCCCUGGCUCACCAGGGUCUCCACUGCUUGCAGCAGCAAGUGCUGAAUCAGGCCUAAGUAUGUUCACUCCAUCACUCCCUUUAAUCCUAGCAACAUCAGGAUCAGUAAUUGGUAUUGAACAAUUAUCCAUACUUGAAUAAUUACCCCCAUUCAACUCAUGGGUCAAAUUCAUCUCUGUUCUGAUCUCAUUAGGCAUCCACACUGCGCAAUUCUGCAACCCCAGUGUCUUAGAUAGCUCAACAAGGGUUGUAUAAAGAAUAGUAUGCCUAUCAAGCGAUUUUCGAAUCUCUUGAGUAAGCAUACGAACAUG